CAGGCGACACUGAAACAUCAAAGUUUUAAAACUUUUUUAUUCUCACAUUUUAAUCUCAUAUUGGUACAAUUUUAAAAAGUCGGUCUAGUCGGCACCACUGCCGACCACUGGAAGAAGAACACAAAAAAAACAACAACUCCUUGUUCAAAAAGUUCAGCGAUUGCGAGUCCAGCCGAUGCGGGAAACAAUUUUAAUCUGUGUGGCCGGACAAUAGUGUUAUAGCGGCCGAAACGUCGGAGGCAUAAUGGAUUUCUUCGUAAAAAAGUCAGCCUCCAGCAGACAGUGCAAUCGAGACUGUUUUGGGAAAACUUCUCGAACUACUAGAAAAUUCUCUUCCCUGCACAUUCAUCACUCGGGCAAUGGUGGUUUCCCUGCAUCCAGUAGGGCUGAACAUGCAAUACCAACCUUCCGCUCUACCGACUGGGGAUGAUUGUCCACCAGAAUUAAUAGACUUCAGGACAUCGUCCACUUUAUUUUUUCAUCAUAAUGUAAGUAAUAAAACUAAAUAAAGUGAAAAAUUUGAA